rnacentral:rRNA from 1 species
AACGAACGCUGGCGGCAGGCCUAACACAUGCAAGUCGAGCGAACCCUUCGGGGUUAGCGGCGGACGGGUUAGUAACGCGUGGGAAUAUACCCUUUGGUACGGAAUAGCCUCGGGAAACUGAGAGUAAUACCGUAUGUGCCCUUCGGGGUAAGGAUUAUCGCCAAAGGAUUAGCCCGCGUUGGAUUAGAUAGUUGGUGGGGUAAGUGGCCUACCAAGUCUACGAUCCAUAGCUGGUUUGAGAGGAUGAUCAGCAACACUGGGACGUGAGACACGGCCCAGACUCCUACGGGAGGGCAGCAGUGGGGGAAUCUUAGACAAUGGGCGGCAAGCCUGAUCUAGCCAUGCCGCGUGGACGAUGAAGGCCUUAGGGUU